AACGAACGCUGGCGGCAUGCCUAACACAUGCAAGUCGAACGAGACCUUCGGGUCUAGUGGCGCACGGGUGCGUAACGCGUGGGAACCUGCCCUUAGGCUCGGAAUAACUCCCCGAAAGGGGUGCUAAUACCGGAUAAUGUCUUCGGACCAAAGAUUUAUCGCCUUUGGAUGGGCCAGCGUUUGAUUAGCUAGUUGGUAGCGGAAAAGCCUACCAAGUCGACGAUCCAUAGCUGGUCUGAGAGGAGGAUCAGCCACACUGGUACUGAGACACGGCCCAGUCUCCUACGGGAGGCAGCAGUGGGGAAUAUUGGACAAUGGGCGAAAGCCUGAUCCAGCAAUGCCGCGUGAGUUAUGAAGGCUUUAGGGUUGUAAAGCCCUUUUACCCGGGAUGAUAAUGACAGUACCGGGAGAAUAAGCACCGGCUAACUCCGUG
rnacentral:rRNA from 1 species